GGACGGGUGAGUAACGCGUGGGAAUGUGCCCUUCUCUGCGGAAUAGCCUCUGGAAACGGAGAGUAAUACCGCAUACGCCCUUUCGGGGGAAAGAUUUAUCGGAGAAGGAUCAGCCCGCGUCUGAUUAGGUAAUUGGUGGGGUAACGGCCUACCAAGCCUACGAUCAGUAGCUGGUUUGAGAGGAUGAUCAGCCACACUGGAACUGUGACACGGUCCAGACUCCUACGGGAGGCAGCAGUAGGGAAUCUUAGACAAUGGGCGAAAGCCUGAUCUAGCCAUGCCGCGUGUGUGACGAAGGCCCUAGGGUCGUAAAGCACUUUCGCCAGGGAUGAUAACGACAGUACCUGGUAAAGAAACCCCGGCUAACUCCGUGCCAGCAGCCGCGGUAAUACGGAGGGGGUUAGCGUUGUUCGGAAUUACUGGGCGUAAAGCGCGCGUAGGCGGACCAUUAAGUUAGAGGUGAAAUCCCAGGGCUCAACCCUGGAACUGCCUUUAAUACUGGUGGUCUUGAGUUCGAGAGAGGUGAGUGGAAUUCCGAGUGUAGAGGUGAAAUUCGUAGAUAUUCGGAGGAACACCAGUGGCGAAGGCGGCUCACUGGCUCGAUACUGACGCUGAGGUGCGAAAGUGUGGGGAGCAAACAGGAUUAGAUACCCUGGUAGUCCACACCGUAAACGAUGAAUGCCAGUCGUCGGCAAGCAUGCUUGUCGGUGACACACCUAACGGAUUAAGCAUUCCGCCUGGGGAGUACGGUCGCAAGAUUAAAACUCAAAGGAAUUGACGGGGGCCCGCACAAGCGGUGGAGCAUGUGGUUUAAUUCGAAGCAACGCGCAGAACCUUACCAACCCUUGACAUCCUCGUCGCGGUUACCAGAGAUGGUUUCCUUCAGUUCGGCUGGACGAG
rnacentral:rRNA from 1 species